rnacentral:rRNA from 1 species
GGCUCAUUAAAUCAGUUAUCGUUUAUUUGAUAGUACCUUACUACUUGGAUAACCGUGGUAAUUCUAGAGCUAAUACAUGCUGAAAACCCCAACUUCGGGAGGGGUGUAUAUAUUAGAUAAAAAACCAACGCCCUUCGGGGCUUCUUGGUGAUUCAUGAUAUCUUUACGGAUCGCAUGGCCUUGCGCCGGCGACGGUUCAUUCAAAUUUCUGCCCUAUCAACUUUCGAUGGUAAGGUAUUGGCUUACCAUGGUUUCAACGGGUAACGGGGAAUUAGGGUUCGAUUCCGGAGAGGGAGCCUGAGAAACGGCUACCACAUCCAAGGAAGGCAGCAGGCGCGCAAAUUACCCAAUCCCGACACGGGGAGGUAGUGACAAUAAAUACUGAUACAGGGCUCUUUUGGGUCUUGUAAUUGGAAUGAGUACAAUUUAAACCUCUUAACGAGGAACAAUUGGAGGGCAAGUCUGGUGCCAGCAGCCGCGGUAAUUCCAGCUCCAAUAGCGUAUAUUAAAGUUGUUGCAGUUAAAAAGCUCGUAGUUGAACCUUGGGUCUGGCUGGCAGGUCCGCCUCACCGCGUGUACUUGUCCGGCCGGGCCUUCCUUCUGGAGAACCUCAUGCCCUUCACUGGGCGUGUUGGGGACCAGGACUUUUACUUUGAAAAAAUUAGAGUGUUCAAAGCAGGCCUUUGCUCGAAUACGUUAGCAUGGAAUAAUAGAAUAGGACGUGCGGUCCUAUUUUGUUGGUUUCUAGGACCGCCGUAAUGAUUAAUAGGGACAGUCGGGGGCAUCAGUAUUCAAUUGUCAGAGGUGAAAUUCUUGGAUUUAUUGAAGACUAACUACUGCGAAAGCAUUUGCCAAGGAUGUUUUCAUUAAUCAGUGAACGAAAGUUAGGGGAUCGAAGACGAUCAGAUACCGUCGUAGUCUUAACCGUAAACUAUGCCGACUAGGGAUCGGGCGAUGUUCUUUUUCUGACUCGCUCGGCACCUUACGAGAAA